rnacentral:rRNA from 1 species
CCACGCACGUUGAAAAGUGCGGGGAAUGUGGGGUGUGGGUAGCGGAGAAAUUCCAACCGAACCAGAUGGCUGGUUCUCCCCGAAAAUAGCGCUUUAGGGCUAGCCUUAAGUGUAAGAGUCUUGGAGGUAGAGCACUGAUUGGACUAGGGGUCCUCAUCGGAUUACCGAAUUCAGUCAAACUCCGAAUGCCAAUGACUUAUCCUUAGGAGUCAGACUGCGAGUGAUAAGAUCCGUAGUCAAAAGGGAAACAGCCCAGACCGCCAGCUAAGGUCCCAAAGUGUGUAUUAAGUGGAAAAGGAUGUGGAGUUGCUUAGACAACUAGGAUGUUGGCUUAGAAGCAGCCACCAUUUAAAGAGUGCGUAAUAGCUCACUAGUCGAGUGACUCUGCGCCGAAAAUGUACCGGGGCUAAAUACACCACCGAAGCUGCGGAUUGAUACCAAUGGUAUCAGUGGUAGGGGAGCGUUCUAAGGACAGUGAAAGUCAGACCGGAAGGACUGGUGGAGUGCUUAGAAGUGAGAAUGCCGGUAUGAGUAGCGAAAGACGGGUGAGAAUCCCGUCCACCGAAUGCCUAAGGUUUCCUGAGGAAGGCUCGUCCGCUCAGGGUUAGUCAGGACCUAAGCCGAGGCCGACAGGCGGUAGGCGAUGGACAACAGGUUGAUAUUCCUGUACCACCUCUUUAUCGUUUGAGCAAUGGAGGGACGGAAGGAUAGAAGAAGCGUGCGAUUGGUUGUGCACGUCCAAGCAGUUAGGCUGAUAAGUAGGCAAAUCCGCUUAUCGUGAAGGCUGGAGCUGUGAUGGGGAAGCUCCUUAUGGAGCGAAGUCUUUGAUUCCCCGCUGCCAAGAAAAGCUUCUAGCGAGAAUAAAAGGUGCCUGUACCGCAAACCGACACAGGUAGGCGAGGAGAGAAUCCUAAGGUGUGCGAGAGAACUCUGGUUAAGGAACCUCGGCAAAAAUGACCCCGUAACUUCGGGAG